rnacentral:rRNA from 1 species
AAGUUCUUCGGAGUGGAAAUUGAUAUUCUAGCGGCGGACGGGUGAGUAACGCGUGAGCAAUCUGUCCCAGACAGGGGGAUAACAGAUGGAAACAUCUGCUAAUACCGCAUAAGACCACGAGAGGACAUCCUCUUGAGGUAAAAGGAGCAAUCCGGUUUGGGGUGAGCUCGCGUCCGAUUAGCUAGUUGGCGAGGUAACGGCCCACCAAGGCGACGAUCGGUAGCCGACCUGAGAGGGUGAUCGGCCACAUUGGAACUGAGACACGGUCCAAACUCC